GCACCAAGACAGGCUACAGAAAUGGCAGAUCUACAAAUGACAGAGGAGAGGCUCCAAGAUGCACUAAUUAAUCUCAAGGUGGACAUGAUUAGAAAACUGUGUAAGCAAUGUGGCCUGGACUCAAAAGGCUCAAAAAUGGACCUUAUCCUAAGACUGCGGGAUGAAAUGAAGAACAGGUCAUCUUAUGACAAGAUCUUCGAGAAGCCACAGCUGCACAGAUACCAGAAGAAGCAGAAGAAAGAGUAAAAUCAG